rnacentral:rRNA from 1 species
GAUUUGAUUAAAGGCCGGGUCUGCCCAACGAUUUNAUUCAAUGGCCGCGGUAUUUCAUCGGUGCUCGGGUAGCAUAACACAUUGGUCUUUCACUCGAAGGCUGGUAUGAAUGGCUGGACGAGGCAUAUUCUUUCUUUAAUUUAAUUUGUGAAUUUCAUUUUUUAGUUAAAAAGCUAAAAUUUAUUUAUUGGACGAGAAGACCCUAUAGAUCUCUAUCAUUCCAUUUACUGAGUAAUUUGGUUAAUUUUUUACUACAAUUAACAGGAGUAUUUGGUUGGGGUGACUUUAGAAGUUUAAUCACUUCCAUUUGUAAUUUUCAUUAAUUUAUGUUUUUAUGAUCCAUUCAUAGUGAUUAUAAGAUUAAGUUACCUUAGGGAUAACAGCGUAAUUUUUUCGGAGAGUUCAUAUCGAUGAAGAAGUUUGCGACCU